rnacentral:rRNA from 1 species
CCCUGAUGCAGCAACGCCGCGUGAGUGAAGAAGGCAUUCGUGUCGUAAAACUCUGUAGUAGGGGAAGAAAGAAAUGACAGUACCCUAAAAGAAAGCCCCGGCUAACUACGUGCCAGCAGCCGCGGUAAUACGUAGGGGGCAAGCGUUAUCCGGAAUAACUGGGCGUAAAGGGUGCGCAGGUGGUUUAACAAGUUAGUGGUGAAAGGCAUAGGCUCAACCAAUGUAAGCCAUUAAAACUGUUUAACUUGAGUGCAGGAGAGGAAAGUGGAAUUCCUAGUGUAGCGGUGAAAUGCGUAGAUAUUAGGAGGAAUACCAGUGGC